rfam:Wolbachia endosymbiont of Glossina morsitans morsitans contig_0057, whole genome shotgun sequence.
AGAGUUUAGAGGGUUAUAGAGAAACCGGUCAGAUUAGGUUUUUAAUCUAAUCUGACCGACAGCUUUAAUAGUGAGGUAAGCUUUAAUAUAGCACUCCUAAUUCAUAACGCUACACUCGUGCAUAAUUUAUUUUUAAUUUGUGCACGAGCGUUAGUAAAUUAUUUACUUUUUGAAAUAAAAUUUGGCAUCACUUUAAUAUUGAGACUUAGUAAACCUCAGUAGGUCUGCCAGUUGGGCCCAUAAGAAUUAUU